rnacentral:lncRNA from 1 species
GUUCUUGAACGUCUCAUUGAACAAGUUCACCGGACUGAUUGGAUCCGAGUUCCACAAAAAAUUUGGCAACUCUGCGUUCAUUCAUGCUGGCAAUUUCAAUGUCUCCAAAACUGCAACCCCUCCGAUUGGACCCCAUUCCACUCCCCUACCUCACAAACCCCUCCUAGAACUUCGACCCCAUUCCUCUACCCCACCUCACAAACCCCUCCCAGAACACCUCGCGAAGAAGAAACGCAAAUCAAAACCUAAACUUCUAGUCUUGUCUUUGUCGUGUGCAUCAGCAUUCCUGGUCCUGGCCAUGGCUAUCUGUACGUAUUGCAUGUACAGGAGAAGGAAGCUGAAGCGAAGAAACAGAUGGGCAAUCUCGAAGCCGAUGCAGGCUGAGUUCAAAAUGGAGAAAUCAGGACCCUUCUCUUUCGAGACAGAGUCAGGCACAUCAUGGGUGGCCGACAUCAAGGAAC